UACGUAGGGGGCAAGCGUUGUCCGGAAUGACUGGGCGUAAAGGGUGUGUAGGCGGUUUAUCAAGUUGAAAGUGAAAUCCCCGGGCUUAACUCGGGUGCUGCUUUCAAAACUGAUAGACUUGAGUGCAGUAGAGAAAAGUGGAAUUCCUAGUGUAGCGGUGGAAUGCGUAGAUAUUAGGAGGAACACCAGUGGCGAAGGCGACUUUUUGGACUGUAACUGACGCUGAGGCACGAAAGUGUGGGGAGCAAACAGGAUUAGAUACCCUGGUAGUCCACACUGUAAACGAUGGAUACUAGGUGUAGGAGGUAUCGACUCCUCCUGCGCUGUAGCUAACGCGAUAAGUAUCCCGCCUGGGGAGUACGGCCGCAAGGUUGAA
rnacentral:rRNA from 1 species